rnacentral:rRNA from 1 species
GAUGAACGCUGGCGGCGUGCUUAACACAUGCAAGUCGAACGAUGAAGCCCAGCUUGCUGGGUGGAUUAGUGGCGAACGGGUGAGUAACACGUGAGUAACCUGCCCUUAACUCUGGGAUAAGCCUGGGAAACUGGGUCUAAUACCGGAUAGGAGCGCCUACCGCAUGGUGGGUGUUGGAAAGAUUUAUCGGUUUUGGAUGGACUCGCGGCCUAUCAGCUUGUUGGUGAGGUAAUGGCUCACCAAGGCGACGACGGGUAGCCGGCCUGAGAGGGUGACCGGCCACACUGGGACUGGGACACGGCCCAGACUCCUACGGGAGGCAGCAGUGGGGAAUAUUGCACAAUGGGCGAAAGCCUGAUGCAGCGACGCCGCGUGAGGGAUGACGGCCUUCGGGUUGUAAACCUCUUUCAGUAGGGAAGAAGCGAAAGUGACGGUACCUGCAGAAGAAGCACCGGCUAACUACGUG